CGUGUAGGCGGGGAUGCAAGUCAGAUGUGAAAUUCCGGGGCUCAACCCCGGCGCUGCAUCUGAAACUGUAUCUCUUGAGUGCUGGAGAGGAAAGCGGAAUUCCUAGUGUAGCGGUGAAAUGCGUAGAUAUUAGGAGGAACACCAGUGGCGAAGGCGGCUUUCUGGACAGUAACUGACGCUGAGGCGCGAAAGCGUGGGGAGCGAACAG
rnacentral:rRNA from 1 species